AGGAAACACCCGUUCCCAUCCCGAACACGGAAGUUAAGCUCUCCAGCGCCGAUGGUAGUUGGGGCCAGCGCCCCUGCAAGAGUAGGUCGCUGCUAGGC
rnacentral:rRNA from 3 species